rnacentral:rRNA from 1 species
GUGACAGUGGCGCACGGGUGAGUAACACAUGGCUGACUGCCCUUCAGAGGGGGACAGGAGCGGAAACGGUGGCUAAUACCCCAUACGCUCGCCGUGAUAAGCAGGCGGAGAGGAAACCUUCAGGGCUGACGGAAGGGGCUGUGGCCCUUCAGCUACUUGGCAGGGUAACCGGCCUAGCAAGUGCAAGACUGGUAGGGGGCCUGAAAGGGUGACCCCCCACACGGGCACUGAGACACGGUCCCGACUUCUACGGAAGGCAGCAGUGAGGGAUAUUGCCCAAUGGACGGAAGUCUGACGCAUCAACGCCUCGUACUGGAUGAAGGCCUUCGGGUUGUAAACCGCUUAUCUGCUCGAAGAGGAAGGACAGUAGCGCAAGAAGAAGUCUCGGAUAACUACGUGCCAGCAGGCGUGGUAAAACAUAGGAGGCGGGCGUUAUCCGGAUUUACUGGGUGUCAAGCGCGUGCAGGCAGUCAUGUCAGUGGUGCGUGCAAGCGCCCGGCUCAACCGGGCGAGGCCGUGCCAAACUGCUUGACUGGAGGCACGUAGAGGCGCAUGGAAUCCCGGGUGUCGCGGUGACAUGCGUAGAUAUCCGGAGGAACACCAGUGGCGAACGCUGAGCGCUGUGCCUUACCUGAUGCUAAGACGCGAAAGCAUGGGGAGCGAACGGGA